UUAUUUCUCCAAAUCCUACUCAUUCCUCAAAGCCUUCCUUUUAUUACAACGUUGCUUCAAUAAAAAACAAAGCCUCUCUUUGUGAGGACUCAGUGGGCGUCCUUCGUGAAGACUUCGUGGGUGCAGUGACUUCCCCGCGCGCCCAGAUGAAUUUUGACUCCAGCCCUGACCUCUCCCAUGGGCUUCAGACACAUGCAUCCAUCUACCUUUUUGAUGACUCUAAAGACCUCAAAUGUAACUUGACCUAGUAUAUGUAUAACUUGCCUAGUGUAUACUAAACAAUCAAUAUAUACUGGCUAUAAUUAUCCCAGCACUAGACUGAGCUCCACCAUGCAGCCCUGACAAUGCCUAGCAUUGAGUAAGUGAGUAAAUAGCUAAAAUAAAAGUACUUUUAUUACCGUGAACACUUUUAAAUACACUUUUUAUUUUAGGUAAGUUUUAGAUUUGCAGAAAGGUGCUAAGAUAAAAGAGAGUCCACAUGUAUGCCUCCCAAGUUCCCUCAUGGUCAUUUUGCAAAUGAAUAAACCUUGUUAAUCACCCAGCAA